rnacentral:rRNA from 1 species
CCCCUAGAUGUUCUGGGCCGCACGCGCGCUACACUGAACAGUUCAACAAGUCUUAACCUUGGCCGAUAGGUCUGGGUAAUCUUUGAACGCUGUUCGUGAUUGGGACAGACCUUUGCAAUUAUGGGUCUUCAACGAGGAAUUCCUAGUAAACGCAAGUCAUCAGCUUGCAUUGAUUACGUCCCUGCCCUUUGUACACACCGCCCGUCGCACCUACCGAUUGAAUGGUCCGGUGAAAUCUCGGGACGGCGGCUUGGUCGCUUGCGUCCGACUGCUGAAACUUGAUUAAACCAUAUCAUUUAGAGGAAGGUGAAGUCGUANCA